ACGGAGGGAGCUAGCGUUGUUCGGAAUUACUGGGCGUAAAGCGCACGUAGGCGGCUUUGUAAGUUAGAGGUGAAAGCCCGGGGCUCAACUCCGGAACUGCCUUUAAGACUGCAUCGCUUGAACAUCGGAGAGGUAAGUGGAAUUCCGAGUGUAGAGGUGAAAUUCGUAGAUAUUCGGAAGAACACCAGUGGCGAAGGCGACUCACUGGACACGUAUUGACGCUGAGGUGCGAAAGCGUGGGGAGCAAACAGGA
rnacentral:rRNA from 1 species